CGCGUAGGCGGUUUGUUAAGUCGGAUGUGAAAGCCCCGGGCUCAACCUGGGAAUUGCAUUCGAUACUGGCAGGCUAGAGUAUGGUAGAGGGAAGUGGAAUUCCAGGUGUAGCGGUGAAAUGCGUAGAUAUCUGGAAGAACACCAGUGGCGAAGGCGACUUCCUGGACCAAUACUGACGCUGAGGUGCGAAAGCGUGGGGAGCGAACA
rnacentral:rRNA from 1 species